UGCAGAGGGUGCAAGCGUUAAUCGGAAUUACUGGGCGUAAAGCGUGCGUAGUCGGUUAUCUAAGUCGGAUGUGAAAUCCCCGGGCUCAACCUGGGAAUUGCAUUCGAUACUGGAUAGCUAGAGUUCGGCAGAGGGAAGUGGAAUUUCGGGUGUAGCGGUGAAAUGCGUAGAUAUCCGAAGGAACAUCAGUGGCGAAAGCGACCUCCUGGACCAGAACUGACGAUCAGGCACGAAAGCGUGGGGAGCAAACAGG
rnacentral:rRNA from 1 species